UGCCCGGGUGGAUGAGUGGCGAACGGGUGAGUAAUACUUGAGUGACCUGCCUUUGACUCUGGGAUAAGCCUGGGAAACUGGGUCUAAUACCGGAUGCGACUACGGCCCGCAUGGGCUGGUGGUGGAAAGGGUUAUGUACUGGUCUUAGAUGGGCUCACGGCCUAUCAGCUGGUUGGUGGGGUAAUGGCCUACCAAGGCAACCACCGGUAGCCGGCCUGAGAGGGUGACCGGCCACACUGGGACUGAGACACGGCCCAAACUCCUACGGGAGGCAGCAGUGGGGAAUAUUGCACAAUGGGCGCAAGCCUGAUGCACCGACCCCUCGUGAGGGAUGACGGCCUUCGGGUUGUAAACCUCUUUCAGCAGGGAAGAAGCGGAAUUGACGGUACCUGCAGAAGAAGCGCCGGCUAACUACGUGCCAGCAGCCGCGGUAAUACGUAGGGCGCAAGCGUUGUCCGGAAUUAUUGGGCGUAAAGAGCUCGUAGGCGGCUUGUCGCGUCUGCUGUGAAAGCCCGGGGCUUAACUCCGGGUGUGCAGUGGGUACGGGCAGGCUAGAGUGCAGUAGGGGUAACUGGAAUUCCUGGUGUAGCGGUGAAAUGCGCA
rnacentral:rRNA from 1 species